GUCGACUGGCGGCGUGCUAUACAUGCAAGUCGAGCGGACUUGAUGGAGAGCUUGCUCUCCAGGAGAGUUAGCGGCGGACGGGUGAGUAACACGUAGGUAACCUGCCUGUAAGACUGGGAUAACUAGCGGAAACGUUAGCUAAUACCGGAUAAUUUAUUUUCUCGCAUGGGGAAGUAAUGAAAGACGGAGCAAUCUGUCACUUGCAGAUGGACCUGCGGCGCAUUAGCUAGUUGGUGGGGUAACGGCUCACCAAGGCGACGAUGCGUAGCCGACCUGAGAGGGUGAACGGCCACACUGGGACUGAGACACGGCCCAGACUCCUACGGGAGGCAGCAGUAGGGAAUCUUCCGCAAUGGACGAAAGUCUGACGGAGCAACGCCGCGUGAGUGAUGAAGGUUUUCGGAUCGUAAAGCUCUGUUGCCAGGGAAGAACGUUCGGUAGAGUAACUGCUACCGGAGUGACGGUACCUGAGAAGAAAGCCCCGGCUAACUACGUGCCAGCAGCCGCGGUAAUACGUAGGGGGCAAGCGUUGUCCGGAAUUAUUGGGCGUAAAGCGCGCGCAGGCGGCUAUUUAAGUCUGGUGUUUAAUCCUAAGGCUCAACCUUAGGUCGCAUUGGAAACUGGGUAGCUUGAGUGCAGAAGAGGAGAGUGGAAUUCCACGUGUAGCGGUGAAAUGCGUAGAGAUGUGGAGGAACACCAGUGGCGAAGGCGACUCUCUGGGCUGUAACUGACGCUGAGGCGCGGAA
rnacentral:rRNA from 1 species